AGCGUACACGGUGGAUGCCCUGGCAGUCAGAGGCGAUGAAGGACGUGCUAAUCUGCGAAAAGCGUCGGUAAGGUGAUAUGAACCGUUACAGCCGGCGAUGUCCGAAUGGGGAAACCCAGUGUGAUUCGUCACACUAUCGUUAACUGAAUACAUAGGUUAACGAGGCGAACCGGGGGAACUGAAACAUCUAAGUACCCCGAGGAAAAGAAAUCAACCGAGAUUCCCCCAGUAGCGGCGAGCGAACGGGGAGCAGCCCAGAGUCUGAAUCAGCUUGUGUGUUAGUGGAACGGUCUGGAAAGUCCGACGGUACAGGGUGAUAGUCCCGUACACCAAAAUGCACAGGCUGUGAACUCGAAGAGUAGGGCGGGACACGUGGUAUCCUGUCUGAAUAUGGGGGGACCAUCCUCCAAGGCUAAAUACUCCUGACUGACCGAUAGUGAACCAGUACCGUGAGGGAAAGGCGAAAAGAACCCCGGCGAGGGGAGUGAAAAAGAACCUGAAACCGUGUACGUACAAGCAGUGGGAGCACCUUCGGGUGUGACUGCGUACCUUUUGUAUAAUGGGUCAGCGACUUAUAUUCUGUAGCAAGGUUAACCGUAUAGGGGAGCCGCAGGGAAACCGAGUCUUAACUGGGCGUUAAGUUGCAGGGUAUAGACCCGAAACCCGGUGAUCUAGCCAUGGGCAGGUUGAAGGUUGGGUAACACUAACUGGAGGACCGAACCGACUAAUGUUGAAAAAUUAGCGGAUGACUUGUGGCUGGGGGUGAAAGGCCAAUCAAACCGGGAGAUAGCUGGUUCUCCCCGAAAGCUAUUUAGGUAGCGCCUCGUGAAUUCAUCUUCGGGGGUAGAGCACUGUUUCGGCUAGGGGGUCAUCCCGACUUACCAACCCGAUGCAAACUACGAAUACCGAAGAAUGUUAUCACGGGAGACACACGGCGGGUGCUAACGUCCGUCGUGAAGAGGGAAACAACCCAGACCGCCAGCUAAGGUCCCAAAGUCACAGUUAAGUGGGAAACGAUGUGGGAAGGCACAGACAGCCAGGAUGUUGGCUUAGAAGCAGCCAUCAUUUAAAGAAAGCGUAAUAGCUCACUGGUCGAGUCGGCCUGCGCGGAAGAUGUAACGGGGCUAAACUGUGCACCGAAGCUGCGGCAGCGACACUAUGUGUUGUUGGGUAGGGGAGCGUUCUGUAAGCCUGCGAAGGUGGCCUGUGAGGGUUGCUGGAGGUAUCAGAAGUGCGAAUGCUGACAUAAGUAACGAUAAUGCGGGUGAAAAGCCCGCACGCCGGAAGACCAAGGGUUCCUGUCCAACGUUAAUCGGGGCAGGGUGAGUCGACCCCUAAGGCGAGGCCGAAAGGCGUAGUCGAUGGGAAACAGGUUAAUAUUCCUGUACUUGGUGUUACUGCGAAGGGGGGACGGAGAAGGCUAUGUUAGCCGGGCGACGGUUGUCCCGGUUUAAGCAUGUAGGCGGAGGUUCCAGGUAAAUCCGGUACCUUUUUAACGCUGAGGUGUGAUGACGAGGCACUACGGUGCUGAAGUAACAAAUGCCCUGCUUCCAGGAAAAGCCUCUAAGCAUCAGGUAACAUUGAAUCGUACCCCAAACCGACACAGGUGGUCAGGUAGAGAAUACCAAGGCGCUUGAGAGAACUCGGGUGAAGGAACUAGGCAAAAUGGUGCCGUAACUUCGGGAGAAGGCACGCUGAUAUGUAGGUGAAGCCCCUGCGGGUGGAGCUGAAAUCAGUCGAAGAUACCAGCUGGCUGCAACUGUUUAUUAAAAACACAGCACUGUGCAAACACGAAAGUGGACGUAUACGGUGUGACGCCUGCCCGGUGCCGGAAGGUUAAUUGAUGGGGUUAUCCGUAAGGAGAAGCUCUUGAUCGAAGCCCCGGUAAACGGCGGCCGUAACUAUAACGGUCCUAAGGUAGCGAAAUUCCUUGUCGGGUAAGUUCCGACCUGCACGAAUGGCGUAAUGAUGGCCAGGCUGUCUCCACCCGAGACUCAGUGAAAUUGAACUCGCUGUGAAGAUGCAGUGUACCCGCGGCAAGACGGAAAGACCCCGUGAACCUUUACUAUAGCUUGACACUGAACAUUGAGCCUUGAUGUGUAGGAUAGGUGGGAGGCUUUGAAGCGUGGACGCCAGUCUGCGUGGAGCCAACCUUGAAAUACCACCCUUUAAUGUUUGAUGUUCUAACGUUGGCCCCUUAUCGGGGUUGCGGACAGUGUCUGGUGGGUAGUUUGACUGGGGCGGUCUCCUCCCAAAGAGUAACGGAGGAGCACGAAGGUUAGCUAAUCCUGGUCGGACAUCAGGAGGUUAGUGCAAUGGCAUAAGCUAGCUUGACUGCGAGCGUGACGGCGCGAGCAGGUGCGAAAGCAGGUCAUAGUGAUCCGGUGGUUCUGAAUGGAAGGGCCAUCGCUCAACGGAUAAAAGGUACUCCGGGGAUAACAGGCUGAUACCGCCCAAGAGUUCAUAUCGACGGCGGUGUUUGGCACCUCGAUGUCGGCUCAUCACAUCCUGGGGCUGAAGUAGGUCCCAAGGGUAUGGCUGUUCGCCAUUUAAAGUGGUACGCGAGCUGGGUUUAGAACGUCGUGAGACAGUUCGGUCCCUAUCUGCCGUGGGCGCUGGAGAAUUGAGGGGGGCUGCUCCUAGUACGAGAGGACCGGAGUGGACGCAUCACUGGUGUUCGGGUUGUCAUGCCAAUGGCAUUGCCCGGUAGCUAAAUGCGGAAGAGAUAAGUGCUGAAAGCAUCUAAGCACGAAACUUGCCCCGAGAUGAGUUCU
rnacentral:rRNA from 1 species